GUAGGUGGCAAGCGUUGUCCGGAAUUAUUGGGCGUAAAGCGCGCGCAGGCGGUUCUUUAAGUCUGAUGUGAAAGCCCACGGCUCAACCGUGGAGGGUCAUUGGAAACUGGAGAACUUGAGUACAGAAGAGGAAAGCGGAAUUCCACGUGUAGCGGUGAAAUGCGUAGAGAUGUGGAGGAACACCAGUGGCGAAGGCGGCUUUCUGGUCUGUAACUGACGCUGAGGCGCGAAAGCGUGGGGAGCAAACAGGGAUUAGAUACCCUGGUAGUCCACGCCGUAAACGAUGAGUGCUAAGUGUUAGGGGGGGUUUUCCCGCCCCCCUUAGUGCUGCAGCUAACGCAUUAAGCACUCCGCCUGGGGAGUACGGCCGCAAGGCUG
rnacentral:rRNA from 1 species